rnacentral:lncRNA from 1 species
AUGAUGGGAUUUUCGGGUCUCCAGCUAAGAUGCUUAAUAUUAACAGGCCUUUUUAUGUCUGGAGAAAUACACUCAUCUCCAGUGUCUGUAAGUCCUUACUUCGCAGACAACGCAAGAGGGAGCUCAGAAGAGGUGGUGCUAACACAAGGAAUGUCUCUCAGAAUAACUGCUUUCUGUGCCUAUCAAUAUUUACAAGGAGACAAGAUAUGGUGCAAAGAAACAGAGCAGAAGGAAUGCGAUCUUAACAAAUCUUUCAGCCUUUCAGAAUGGAAGUUUCUAUCUACUAUACCCAACCAAAAGAUCACAUUGGAGAGUCCAAGAAAUGGAUGCCUUUCUCUGUUCAUGACUGCUCUUGAAGUAGAAGAUUCAGGGACAUACUGGUUUGGACUUCUUGAUGGCUUGAAGAUGAUCUCUUCGAAGAAAAUUAAAGUGGUGGUUCAUGAAAAUCCUCUGGUGCCUACAAUGAUAUUCUCACCUCCAACCUCUAUGACUCCUUCCUCUGAAAGUCCUAACAAGUCAGGAAGGAGAUUACAAGAAGUGAUCAAGGUGCAAGGAGAAUCCCUCAUCAUGAAAGCUUUCUGUUCCCAACAACAUCAAUCAAAGAAGAUCUGGUGCAAAGGAGAUAUACUAAAGGAAUGUGAUCUUGACAAACCCGUAGGCAUCUCAGCAACAGGAUGGCAAUAUCUGACUCCUAAACCAAACCAAAAAGUUAUAUUAUUGGAUUCAGGAAAUGGCUGCAGUUAUUUUUUCAUAUCUGAUCUUCACAUGGACGAUUCAGGGAUAUAUUGGUUUGGGAUACUUGAGGAUCUGAAUAUUAUCCCUUUAAGAAAAUUCAAAGUGAUCGUUCAAAAGAGCCAGAACCAAGCGUGA